GAAGCUUCCUAGCCUGGUUAAGAUUUUAACCAGCUCUGGGGACAGACGGUGCUACAGUAGAGAAGAGGAAAUUCAGACGGGUCGUUUCCAUCUGUUCUGGGGCCUGUCUCUACAACUCUGCUACGCUC
ensembl:snoRNA LOC120093962 small nucleolar RNA SNORA55